GCUGGGUGUGGUGGCGGGCACCUGUAAUCCCAGCUACACAGGAGGCUGAGGCAGGAGAAUUGCUUGAACCUGGGAGGCAGAGGUUGCAGUGAGCCAAGAUUGCACCACUGCACUCCGGACUGGGUGACAGAGCAAGAUGCCAUCUCAGAAAAAAAAAAAAAAAAUAGCCCAGUGUCAGAAGGUGGGAGGGUUUCGGGGGAUGAUGGAGUGGUAAGUUCAUGACUGCAUGUUUCUUUUCUUGAGACAAAGUCUCGCUCCGUUGCCCAGGCUGGAGUGCGGUGGUGCAAUCUUGGCUCACUGCAACCUCCAUCUUCUGGGUUCAAGCAAUUCUCCUGCCUCAG
rnacentral:sRNA from 1 species